rnacentral:rRNA from 1 species
GCUAUUCCGAAGGGCAUGCCUGUUUGAGUAUCAUGAACACCUCAACUCUCGUGGUUCGCCAUGAUGAGCUUGGACUUUGGAGGACUUGCUGGCCUGUGGUCGGCUCCUCUCAAACAAAUCAGCUUGCCAGUGUUUGGUGGCAUCGCAGGUGUGAUAAAUAUCUACGCUUGUGGUUUCUGCCAGAUAACCUUCAGCAAUGGAGGUUCAUUGGAGCUCAUAAAUGUCUCUCCUCAGCGAGGACAGCUCUUUGAAUGUUUGAUCUCAAAUCAGGUAGGACUACCCGCUGAACUUAAGCAUAUCAU